rnacentral:ncRNA from 1 species
GACCGACAGCAAACUGCCUGAUGCCCAGGCCGGGUAUGAAAAGGCCCUGACGGUGCUGAUGGCGGCCCAGGCCGGGUCCAACCUGAUC